CCUACGGGAGGCAGCAGUGGGGAAUAUUGGUCAAUGGGCGCGAGCCUGAUCCAGCCAAGUAGCGUGAAGGAUGACGGCCCUAGGGGUUGUAAACAUCUUUUAUAAAGGAAUAAAGUGAGGCACGUGUUCCUUUUUGUAUGUACUUUAUGAAUAAUGAUAGGCUAACUCCGUGCCAGCAGCCGCGGUAAUACAGAGGAUCCGCGCGUUAUCCGGAUUUAUUGGGUUUAAGGGGAGCGUAGAUGGGUUGUUAAGUCAGUUGUGAAAGUGUGCGGCUCAACCGUAAAAUUGCAAUUGAUACUGGCAGUCUUGAGUACAGUUGAGGGAGGCGGAAUUCGUGGUGUAGCGGUGAAAUGCUUAGAUAUGACGAAGAACUCCGAUUGCGAAGGCAGCUUACUAAACUGCCACUGACAUUGAGGCUCGAAAGUGUGGGUAUCAAACAGGAUUAGAUACCCGAGUAGUC
rnacentral:rRNA from 1 species